rnacentral:rRNA from 1 species
AUUGAACGCUGGCGGCAUGCCUUACACAUGCAAGUCGAACGGCAGCACGGGAGCAAUCCUGGUGGCGAGUGGCGAACGGGUGAGUAAUGUAUCGGAACGGGACCAUUCGUGGGGGAUAACGUAGCGAAAGUUACGCUAAUCCCGCAUACGAUCUAUGGAUGAAAGCGGGGGGUCGCAAGACCUUGCGCGAUUGGAGCGGCCGAUAUCUGAUUAGGUAGUUGGUGGGGGAAAGGCUCACCAAGCCGACGAUCUGUAGCUGGUCUGAGAGGACGACCAGCCACACGGGGAUUGAGACACGGCCCAGACUCCUACGGGAGGCAGCAGUGGGGAAUUUUGGACAAUGGGCGCAAGCCUGAUCCAGCAAUGCCGCGUGCAGGAUGAAGGCCUUCGGGUUGUAAACUGCUUUUGUACGGAACGAAACGGCGAGCUCUAAUACAGUUUGCUAAUGACGGUACCGUAAGAAUAAGCACCGGCUAACUACGUGCCAGCCGCCGCCGUAA